UCAAGGAUUUGAGCUUGUUUUAGGUGAUC
rnacentral:piRNA from 1 species